rnacentral:rRNA from 1 species
UACGUAGGGCGCAAGCGUUAUCCGGAAUUAUUGGGCGUAAAGAGCUCGUAGGCGGUGUGUCGCGUCGGCCGUGAAAACCUGGGGCUCAACUCUGGGCGUGCGGUCGAUACGGGCAUCACUGGAGUUCGGCAGGGGAGACUGGAAUUCCUGGUGUAGCGGUGAAAUGCGCAGAUAUCAGGAGGAACACCGGUGGCGAAGGCGGGUCUCUGGGCCGACAUUGACGCUGAGGAGCGAAAGCCAGGGGAGCAAACGGG